rnacentral:other from 1 species
UUAUCCCUGCUGUGUGCGUGGCGGUUGAAUGAAAUUUUGAACCAACACCUUUAUAUAGGGAGCCUGAUUUUUCAAGGUAGGUAAGGCACGCUCUUUUAACAGAGAGAAACCUCGAAGCCUUGAAUAGGGCACCCACUUAUUAUAAGGGUUCAAAGUCCUUCGAUCGCCCGGCAUAAGCGGGGAUUUU